ACGGAUGUUCUUAAACCCUGCUGACUGCCAUGGCGAUUGCCAAAAAAACGGAUCACCAGAUGUAAAAAUGGAUCUUAAUUUAUUAAUAAAAUACCAAACAGAAAACAAUAAACUUGCGGAAAAGAUGGUAUACCGCAAACAUGAGGUGCAAAAAUUUGUACACCAUAUCCGGAUUUCGACAAUUAAUGUCUCUUCAGUGAUGUUAGGAAUCGAAACGGUAUUUGGAAGGCCAUAUAAUUUACCUCAAUUUGGGAUUGACUCUUAAAUUUUGAAGAGUCAAAAUAGGAUGAACGGAUCAUAUAAACCCGAAGGCAAAUAUAAUACAAGCCCAAACGAAAAAAUAUAAACAAGUCUAAAUUGAAAACAACGUUCAAACCUAUGAUUGCGUUGGAUAAAAACCGCAAUUUUUAUACGUGUGCAUGCAAAACAAAUUUCUUGGUAGAGUGGUCUAAAUACAGCACAAACAACAUUUUCCAAAAGACCAAAAAGAGUGAAAAAGUAUAUUUUAACAAAACGCAUUUGACUAGCAGGUCGAACAACGGAUGUUCUUAAACCCUGCUGACUGCCAUGGCGAUUGCCAAAAAAACGGAUCACCAGAUGUAAAAAUGGAUCUUAAUUUAUUAAUUAAAUACCAAACAGAAAACAAUAAACUUGCGGAAAAGAUGGUAUACCGCAAACAUGAGGUGCAAAAAUUUGUACACCAUAUCCGAAUUUCGACAAUUAAUGUCUCUUCAGUGAUGUUAGGAAUCGAAACGGUAUUUGGAAGGCCAUAUAAUUUACCUCAAUUUGGGAUUGACUCUUAAAUUUUGAAGAGUCAAAAUAGGAUGAACGGAUCAUAUAAACCCGAAGGCAAAUAUAAUACAAGCCCAAACGAAAAAAUAUAAACAAGUCUAAAUUGAAAACAACGUUCAAACCUAUGAUUGCGUUGGAUAAAAACCGCAAUUUUUAUACGUGUGCAUGCAAAACAAAUUUCUUGGUAGAGUGGUCUAAAUACAGCACAAACAACAUUUUCCAAAAGACCAAAAAGAGUGAAAAAGUAUAUUUUAACAAAACGCAUUUGACUAGCAGGUCGAACAACGGAUGUUCUUAAACCCUGCUGACUGCCAUGGCGAUUGCCAAAAAAACGGAUCACCAGAUGUAAAAAUGGAUCUUAAUUUAUUAAUUAAAUACCAAACAGAAAACAAUAAACUUGCGGAAAAGAUGGUAUACCGCAAACAUGAGGUGCAAAAAUUUGUACACCAUAUCCGGAUUUCGACAAUUAAUGUCUCUUCAGUGAUGUUAGGAAUCGAAACGAUAUUUGGAAGGCCAUAUAAUUUACCUCAAUUUGGGAUUGACUCUUAAAUUUUGAAGAGUCAAAAUAGGAUGAACGGAUCAUAUAAACCCGAAGGCAAAUAUAAUACAAGCCCAAACGAAAAAAUAUAAACAAGUCUAAAUUGAAAACAACGUUCAAACCUAUGAUUGCGUUGGAUAAAAACCGCAAUUUUUAUACGUGUGCAUGCAAAACAAAUUUCUUGGUAGAGUGGUCUAAAUACAGCACAAACAACAUUUUCCAAAAGACCAAAAAGAGUGAAAAAGUAUAUUUUAACAAAACGCAUUUGACUAGCAGGUCGAACAACGGAUGUUCUUAAACCCUGCUGACUGCCAUGGCGAUUGCCAAAAAAACGGAUCACCAGAUGUAAAAAUGGAUCUUAAUUUAUUAAUUAAAUACCAAACAGAAAACAAUAAACUUGCGGAAAAGAUGGUAUACCGCAAACAUGAGGUGCAAAAAUUUGUACACCAUAUCCGGAUUUCGACAAUUAAUGUCUCUUCAGUGAUGUUAGGAAUCAAAACGGUAUUUGGAAGGCCAUAUAAUUUACCUCAAUUUGGGAUUGACUCUUAAAUUUUGAAGAGUCAAAAUAGGAUGAACGGAUCAUAUAAACCCGAAGGCAAAUAUAAUACAAGCCCAAACGAAAAAAUAUAAACAAGUCUAAAUUGAAAACAACGUUCAAACCUAUGAUUGCGUUGGAUAAAAACCGCAAUUUUUAUACGUGUGCAUGCAAAACAAAUUUCUUGGUAGAGUGGUCUAAAUACAGCACAAACAACAUUUUCCAAAAGACCAAAAAGAGUGAAAAAGUAUAUUUUAACAAAACGCAUUUGACUAGCAGGUCGAACAACGGAUGUUCUUAAACCCUGCUGACUGCCAUGGCGAUUGCCAAAAAAACGGAUCACCAGAUGUAAAAAUGGAUCUUAAUUUAUUAAUUAAAUACCAAACAGAAAACAAUAAACUUGCGGAAAAGAUGGUAUACCGCAAACAUGAGGUGCAAAAAUUUGUACACCAUAUCCGGAUUUCGACAAUUAAUGUCUCUUCAGUGAUGUUAGGAAUCGAAACGGUAUUUGGAAGGCCAUAUAAUUUACCUCAAUUUGGGAUUGACUCUUAAAUUUUGAAGAGUCAAAAUAGGAUGAACGGAUCAUAUAAACCCGAAGGCAAAUAUAAUACAAGCCCAAACGAAAAAAUAUAAACAAGUCUAAAUUGAAAACAACGUUCAAACCUAUGAUUGCGUUGGAUAAAAACCGCAAUUUUUAUACGUGUGCAUGCAAAACAAAUUUCUUGGUAGAGUGGUCUAAAUACAGCACAAACAACAUUUUCCAAAAGACCAAAAAGAGUGAAAAAGUAUAUUUUAACAAAACGCAUUUGACUAGCAGGUCGAACAACGGAUGUUCUUAAACCCUGCUGACUGCCAUGGCGAUUGCCAAAAAAACGGAUCACCAGAUGUAAAAAUGGAUCUUAAUUUAUUAAUUAAAUACCAAACAGAAAACAAUAAACUUGCGGAAAAGAUGGUAUACCGCAAACAUGAGGUGCAAAAAUUUGUACACCAUAUCCGGAUUUCGACAAUUAAUGUCUCUUCAGUGAUGUUAGGAAUCGAAACGGUAUUUGGAAGGCCAUAUAAUUUACCUCAAUUUGGGAUUGACUCUUAAAUUUUGAAGAGUCAAAAUAGGAUGAACGGAUCAUAUAAACCCGAAGGCAAAUAUAAUACAAGCCCAAACGAAAAAAUAUAAACAAGUCUAAAUUGAAAACAACGUUCAAACCUAUGAUUGCGUUGGAUAAAAACCGCAAUUUUUAUACGUGUGCAUGCAAAACAAAUUUCUUGGUAGAGUGGUCUAAAUACAGCACAAACAACAUUUUCCAAAAGACCAAAAAGAGUGAAAAAGUAUAUUUUAACAAAACGCAUUUGACUAGCAGGUCGAACAACGGAUGUUCUUAAACCCUGCUGACUGCCAUGGCGAUUGCCAAAAAAACGGAUCACCAGAUGUAAAAAUGGAUCUUAAUUUAUUAAUUAAAUACCAAACAGAAAACAAUAAACUUGCGGAAAAGAUGGUAUACCGCAAACAUGAGGUGCAAAAAUUUGUACACCAUAUCCGGAUUUCGACAAUUAAUGUCUCUUCAGUGAUGUUAGGAAUCGAAACGGUAUUUGGAAGGCCAUAUAAUUUACCUCAAUUUGGGAUUGACUCUUAAAUUUUGAAGAGUCAAAAUAGGAUGAACGGAUCAUAUAAACCCGAAGGCAAAUAUAAUACAAGCCCAAACGAAAAAAUAUAAACAAGUCUAAAUUGAAAACAACGUUCAAACCUAUGAUUGCGUUGGAUAAAAACCGCAAUUUUUAUACGUGUGCAUGCAAAACAAAUUUCUUGGUAGAGUGGUCUAAAUACAGCACAAACAACAUUUUCCAAAAGACCAAAAAGAGUGAAAAAGUAUAUUUUAACAAAACGCAUUUGACUAGCAGGUCGAACAACGGAUGUUCUUAAACCCUGCUGACUGCCAUGGCGAUUACUAAAAAAACGGAUCACCAGAUGUAAAAAUGGAUCUUAAUUUAUUAAUUAAAUACCAAACAGAAAACAAUAAACUUGCGGAAAAGAUGGUAUACCGCA